rnacentral:rRNA from 1 species
GGGGUGAUGGCCUACCAAGGCGACGACGGGUAGCCGGCCUGAGAGGGUGAUCGGCCCAUUGGGACUGAGAUACGGCCCAGACUCCUACGGGAGGCAGCAGUGGGGAAUAUUGCACAAUGGGCGGAAGCCUGAUGCAGCGACGCCGCGUGAGGGAUGAAGGCCUUCGGGUUGUAAACCUCUUUCAGCAGGGACGAAGCGUGAGUGACGGUACCUGCAGAAGAAGCACCGGCUAACUACGUGCCAGCAGCCGCGGUAAUACGUAGGGUGCGAGCGUUGUCCGGAAUUACUGGGCGUAAAGAGUUCGUAGGCGGUUUGUCGCGUCGUUUGUGAAAACCCGGGGCUCAACUUCGGGCUUGCAGGCGAUACGGGCAGACUUGAGUGUUUCAGGGGAGACUGGAAUUCCUGGUGUAGCGGUGAAAUGUGCAGAUAUUAGGAGGAACACCGGUGGCGAAGGCGGGUCUCUGGGAAACAACUGACGCUGAGGAACGAAAGCGUGGGUAGCAAACAGGAUUAGAUACCCUGGUAGUCCACGCCGUAAACGGUGGGCGCUA